rnacentral:lncRNA from 1 species
GGAGCGCCUCUGACUGACUUCCCCCAUGUGUCCGUGUGGCCACACCGUGCUACUUUCAGAGGCAGUGGGCUUUUCGCUAAGGGAUAAAAAGAAGUAAAACCUUGCCUUUAGCGCAGCUCUCCUUCACUGGGCAGAUUGCUCUCCCUCCCCACUCUCCCAGGCCCAAAUUGGAUCUCAGCGCCUGGGAGCUCCAACUUUAGCAAGUGCGAAAUCCUGUCUUCGGUUUUGGAAUUUUCAUCCGCACAGACUAUAUCAGCCACGGAUAGGAUAUGUGAGAAUACCAGCAUGUCAAGGCUGGGAAUCAUCCUUAGGCAUCACCUAGCCAGUCCUGCCUCUCAUUUUAAGGUGAUCACAGGAUCUGGUUUGCCACUGAAAGGAAUCUUGAUGCUGACCACUUCACCUCGGAGAGCAUGAACUGCUCCCAUGCCUUCAAGAGUUUUAGUGGGUAACCAGGAUGGAACUGCGGUGUUGCUUGCAGGAGAAGCUUACUACUGGUUUCUACUUCUCCAACCUCAUUGGUGGCUAUGCAGGCACUGUCUCCAGACUGUCUAUAUUCAACCCAGUAUCCAAGAAUUUCUUUACCACCAUCACAUUCAGGUUUCUCCCACUGUAGAGUGACACUAUCUUUGGAUAUUGAAAGAAUCUCAAGUUCUCCUGGUUGGCUUGGUUUAUCUGAAAUAUUUUAAAAUAAUGAAAAGGGAGUCAGCUUUACUGGUGAAAUAAAAGGACCAAACAUGGCUUGCUUCUUUAAUUUAACCCCUUCUUCUGAAUUCCUUACCAAAUGGAUCUUUGCAAACAACUGGUUCAGAAGCAGGGCUGGUCUCACUCAGGCCAACAUCAUUCUGUGCGAUGAUGCGGAACUGAUACUCAGCAUCGGGAACAAGCCCUGUGACAGUGUACAUUGUGGUGGUGAUCUGAGUCUUGUUGUGUCUGACCCACUUGUCAGUGGAUGUCUCUUUGCGUUCGAUGUAGUAGCCUGUGACUCUAGAACCACCAUCAUCUUUGGGCCGGGACCAGGACAAGCUAACAGAACUCUUGGUUACAUCGAGUACUUCUGGAGGAUUGCUUGGAGGUUCUGGAGGAUCUGUAAAUAUAAGUGGAAAGCACACAUGUAUUAGAAUACAGUCCCAAGUAUUAUAAGCCAAUGACUUUCAUUUAAAAACAGAAAAGUGCUGAAAUAAUGUUUAUAAUUUUGUGGUUGAAAGGGCACUUACUCAAUGGUGUUUUUGGUGUGACUGGUUCCUCAGAUUUCAAGGGUUUGCUUAUGCCAAACUGGUUUUCUGCUGAAACACGGAAAUGGUAUUCUACAUUCUCUUUGAGGCCUUUUACCACCAGAGAUGUACCUCGGACUCUGGAAUCAAUGGUAUACCAGGCGGCUUUAGGCACUUCUCGUCUCUCGAGGAUGUAGCCUAAGAUGUCAGCACCACCAUCAUCAGCAGGAGGUCUCCAGCUGACCCUCACAGAGCGGACUUGGAUGUCAUCAUAUUCCAGUGGCCCUUCUGGACUGUUGGGACUUCCUAUCACCCUGACCUUGAUGUAGACAGCCUUCUUGCCACAUUUAUUUUCCAGAACCAGGUCAUAAGUGCCAGAAUCACCCCUGUCUGCUUCUUUGAUCACAAGCUCAGUGUGUGUUUCAGAUGUUGCAAUCAUGGCACGCUUACUAAUAUCCUGGCCUUCCUUGGUCCAUUUACAUAUUGGGAAUGGUUUUCCUUUGAUUGGUAUGGUAAGUCUGAUGACGCCACCUUGCCUUACAAAGAUACCUUCUUGGUAUCUUUCAUCAAGUUCAUAAUCAGGAUAUUCUGGAAAAAAAGGUAGGGUUUCAAUUUAGCAUUUGGGGUAGGGGGACUAAGAAAUAAGUCUAUGGCAAUUAUUGCAGAAAGCAAAUGAUCAUAUGUCUCACCAAGCAUUUCAGUGACUUUGACUGUUCCUGGUACCUCAGCAGGCUCACCAGGUCCACCAGCAUUACAAGCUAGGACGCGGAACCUGUAUUCUGCACCCUGAGAAUCAGAGGUGGGGAGAGUGGUGGAAGGGCCUGUGGACUUACGGAUGCUGCUGCGACACUCUAUGACCUCAGACUGCAAGUAAGAGCCAAUCCCGAAGCGGUUUGUUGCAGCCACACGGAACACAUACUCAUUUCCUUCGGUGACGGUUGGAGGAGGCUUUCCAGACACAUAGGCAAUGAUUCGGAUCACCCCUCCAGCAUGGACAACAAUUCUAUCUCUGACACUGGCAUCUAGCUGAAGGUCAGGUGAAACUGGAAGCAAUUGAAAAUUACAAAUGUGAUUUUUCCCCUUCAAUCUGAAACAUAAAUACUGAUGGCAUAAGGAAGGAUUGAUAAUUACCAAGUCUGUCCUUCAUUUCAAUGACAUCUGUGACCUCUCCAGGUUCUCCAAUGCCAGCAAUGUUGACUGCUCUAACUCUAAAUUUGUAGAAUGCUCCUUCCUUUAAUCCUGUCACAACAAGCUUUGUUCCUCUCACUUCUUUAUCUUUACCCUGGGGAGAAAUCAUAGACAUUUUAUAAUUAGAAUAGUUCUUUGUAGCUUCUUGCUUUAAUGGCUUCCUAAAGCAUCACCAGCAGCCUAUUUAACUGUUUACUCUGGGAAAAUUGUUGCUGGUUUAGGUUUUAGGGAUCAGAUAUUACAGGCAACACUGAAUGGAAUAACUUGGCAGGAGUUAUGCUUUAAAAUUAUUGUCAAAUGAUUAAACCUUGAUUUAUUUAUUCCACAUUCCAGGGUUUAUAACCAAAAGAUUAGUAAUAACAUGACUUAACUUUUGAUUCGAUUUCUGACAUUAACAGAUGUUUGGAAUGUGAGUUAAAAUUAUGCUAUUUUCCUGAUUUCUUAAUCCAAAAAGUAUAGACAGAAGUUAAUGGGAUUGAGAAUAACUAUGACAUUUUUUAGUUUAUUCAUAGUGCAUUUCCUUAGUGCCAAGUUUUCCUACCUUUUCCCAUUCUUCUUUUCCUUCUUCUUUAUAUUCAACGAUGUAUCCAGUUACUUUGGAUCCACCAUCUUUUAGUGGGGGAGACCACUCCAGAUCUGCAGAUGAUUUAGUCCAAUCUGUCACUUUGGGAAAUGGAGGACCAGGAGGGGCUGCAAAGAGCCAGUAUACGUUAGUAUUCUUGACUUUUCCAAGGCACUUUUGGAAAAUAAGAUUUAAAAAAAAGGAAUGGUUUCCAGGCUUACCAAUUGGAUCUCUAGCAGUCGCUGGGUCUGAUGGCAGACUUGCUGGACCCACGCCAGCAGCAUUGAUUGCAUAUACCCGGAAUUGAUAGUCGGAACCUUCAAUAAGACCAGUCACUUUAUAAGAAACACCC